UACGUAGGGGGCUAGCGUUGUCCGGAAUCAUUGGGCGUAAAGAGCGUGUAGGCGGCCCGGUAAGUCCGCUGUGAAAGUCGGGGGCUCAACCCUCGAAUGCCGGUGGAUACUGUCGGGCUAGAGUGCGGAAGAGGCGAGUGGAAUUCCCGGUGUAGCGGUGGAAUGCGUAGAGAUCGGGAAGAAUACCCGUGGCGAAGGCGGCCGACUGGGCCGGAUCCGACGCUGAUGCGCGAAAGCGUGGGGAGCAAACAGG
rnacentral:rRNA from 1 species